UACGGGGGAUGCAAGCGUUAUCCGGAUUUAUUGGGUUUAAAGGGUGCGUAGGCUGUGAGGUAAGUCAGCGGUGAAAUGCCCCCGCUCAACGGGGUGAAGCGCCAUUGAUACUGCCUUGCUGGAAUGCGGAUGCCGUGGGAGGAAUGUAUGGUGUAGCGGUGAAAUGCAUAGAUAUCACACAGAACACCGAUUGCGAAGGCAUCUCACGAAUCCGCUAUUGACGCUGAUGCACGAAAGCGUGGGUAUCAAACAGG
rnacentral:rRNA from 1 species